rnacentral:rRNA from 1 species
UCCGUUGGCAAGAUGACUCUGCGCUCUUGUAGAGUCCACCGUGUUGCCCUACCAUCCUUCUGUUAACCCUUUUAAUAAAAAAAGUCUUUUGGGGGCUCAGAUAUUUUACCUUGAGAAAAUUAGAGUGUUUCAGGCAGGCUAGCGCCGGAAUACAUUAGCAUGGAAUAAUAGAAUAGGACUUUAUACCUCUUCUGUUGGUCUGAGGGGAUGAAGUAAUGAUUAAUAGGGAUAGUUGGGGGCAUUAGUACUUUACUGUCAGAGGUGAAAUUCUCGGAUUUGUAAAAGACUAACUUAUGCGAAAGUUUGCCAAGGAUGUUUUCAUUAAUCAAGAACGAAAGUAGGGGGAUCAAAGACGAUCAGAUACCGUCCUAGUCUUAACCAUAAACUAUGCCGACUCGGGAUCGGGGGCGAGAAGUAUCCGCCUUCCGCACCGUAUGAGAAAUCAAAGUCUUUGGGUUCUGGGGGGGAGGAUGGUCCCCAAGGUUAAAAUUAAAGGAAAUUGACGGAAGGGCACCACCAGGCGUGGGAGUUUGCGCUCAAAUUGACUCAACACGGGGAAAAUUACCA